AUGAUCUCCAGGCGGGGCUGUAAACUGUAUAUAAUCCCUGCCCAUGAGGCUAAUCAGAGUGUGGUGUGUUUUCCCCCUAAUCCUCACUCAAACAUGGUAUCAAAUAUUUCUGAUCCCGCUUCCGCUCCCAUGGAGCACGACGACGGCGACGCUCCGCCUGCUGUCCCCCUCGCCGCCGCUCCACCUGCAGUCCCUCCUGCUCCUGCGCCACCUGCUCCUGCAGUCCCUGCUGCUCCCGCGUCACCUGCACCAGCCCUCGCCGUGGCAACCGCCCCAGUCCCGCCUGCUGCUCUGCCUGCGUCGGCCAUGGUGGCCGUGGCGCCCCCACCUCCCUCCAUCCCCUCGUCGGUGCUGCAAACCGUCGACAUCCGCCGCCAUGUUCCAGUCACGCUGGACCUCCUCGCCGGCAACUACACCCAAUGGCGCCGCCACUUCGACGCCGUCAUCGGGAUGUUUGGGCUCCGCGACCAUGUCGAUCCCGAGGCGCUCCCCCGUCUCGACCACCCCGAGUGGCUCAUGGCCGACCAUGUCGUCGUGCACUGGCUCUACACCACCAUCGCGCCGGAGCUCCUCGAUGCCGUCAUGCACCCCGAGGACACGGCGAUCGCCAUGUGGACCGCCAUCGACAGCCUGUUCCGCGACAACCACCUCGCCCGCGCCGUCUACGUCGACGCCGAGUACCACGCCGCCGUCCAGGGAGACAUGUCGGUCAUGCAGUACUGCACCAAACUCAAGAACUUCACCGACCAACUCCGGGACCUCGGCCAGCCGGUCACUGACACGCGCCAGGUUUUCCACCUCCUGCGCGGCCUCAACCGUCAGUACCACUCCGUCAUUCCCCAUGUGACGUCGCAGGUGCCCCUCCCCUCCUUCCUUCAGGUGCGCUCCUUCCUCCUUCUGGAGGAACACCGCGCCGAACAGUCUGCUCGGCUGCAGUCCACUCAUGCCCUGGUCGCUGGCCGCGGCUCUCCAUCGACACCGCCCACUCCUCCCAGCAACACCAACCAACAAGGGCGCGGGCGCGGGCGCCGCCGCGGCCGUGGCAAUGGAGGUCAGGGCGCUCACAUCGCUCCCUCGCCGUCGCCCUUACCUCGCCCUCCGGCCGUUCCCGCCCCUGCACCAGGCGCCAAUUCCUGGACAGGCCUCGUCCAGGCGUGGCCCAUGGCCUGGCGCGCGCUUGGUGCCGGCGUUCUCGGCCCGCGGCCUGGUACUCCGCCCCAGCAGGCUAUGUACGCCGCGCCCGCGCCAACGGCGCUCCCACUGCCCGUCUACGGCUCGCCUGGUGCCUACCCACCUGGCUACGCGCCCCCGCCCCACUACAACACCCCAGGGGCCGGGCCGUCGUCGUCUCCGUCACCAGCAUGGGACAUGGCGUCCCUUCAGGCUGCUCUCCACAGCGCCACCGCCGGGCCAUCCUCUUCUGGCACCUCCCAGGAGUGGUACCUCGACUCCGGGGCAGCCGCGCACAUGUCUUCGUCCCCUGGUAACCUCUUCUCUGUCCACCCCUCUCGAUCCGCUUCUCACGUCGUUGUUGGUAGCGGUGAAUGCCUACCCAUUACACACAUGGGCACCGGCUCUCUGAUCGGCGUCACCUCGCCGAUCCAGCUCCGCAAUGUCAUCGUCUGUCCUUCCAUCAUUAAGAAUCUCCUUUCUGUUCGUCAACUCUGUCGAGAUAACCCAGUAACUGUUGAAUUUGACGCGUGCGGUUUCUCUGUCAAGGACCUUCGAACUGACGAUCCUCCGAUGUGA
rnacentral:rRNA from 1 species